rnacentral:lncRNA from 1 species
CUCCUGCCCACUCUGGGCUUCCUACCACUCUGUCCUGGUGGCAGGCUCUCUUCAGCUAGGGAUUAUAGAAGCAGGACUCCCUCCCCUUUCAUCAUGAAAGACUGACUGGCUUACAGUCUGUCUUUGAACCACCUAGAAGAGAGAAUGCUGUGUUCUCAGAACAAGAGCGCUAACUAAUCCUAAGGAAAGUGGCCUUGGGAACAGAAUCAAGAGCCGCAGAAAACACAAGAGAAAAGCUAUUGUGAUGGGUUUUAAAGCUUCCUGGAAGAUGAUUCAUGGUCUCUGCUUCCAAUUUAAAUUUUAACUGUCGUUUCCUAAAGAUCUUUAAGAAAUGAUGUCAUUUGUCCCCAGUUUUGUAAUCGGGCAGGUCAAGCUCCCGGUGGAAAUCCAAUGGAAAUGAACAUGAUAAUGGUUUUGAAAUAUGACCACCACAAAGCCUACAUCCCUCUGCACUGCACAGAGAGGAAGAAGCCAUAUUUUAUCCUACAGAAGCACAUCUAGCACAAGCGAUGGGCAUGCUGUCUUGUACAGGAGCUCUUCAUCACUACGAAAGUCCUGAAUAGAUCCUGGCUGCUGGCACACUCACCACUGUCACUGUCCACCCAGACCCUGUCAAAAGGCAUUGAAGUCCUCUGCUGACAGGACUUUACAGACUCCAACCGAGGCAGAUCUGAAGGGACACGGUUUUGUGACAUCAUCCCACACACCAGUCAGCCUCUGCGGGAGCUGCAGCUGUGGUGGUGGCAGCCACAGGAGCAGCAGCCACAAAUGCAGAUGGAUUAGCCAAGAAGGCCUUGACCUUUUCAGCAAGUGGGAAGGUGUAUUCAGUCUCCACAGACCAAGCAGGAUCUACUUGUAUCCACUGACGAUACAGUGUGCCUCUGAAGCAACAGUCAGCAAGCUCCAUGGGAAUUGUGUUCAUUAGGACCCUUUGGUUCUAAGGACCAGAAGCCAUCUUGAGCAAGCUACAACUCGGGAAUGGCAUUGCAGCAUUGGGGCACAGUGACUGCCUCUCAGAAGUGGCGGGGAAUGGGAGCUUCAAGGAGGAGUUGAAAAACAGUCAGAAUCAUGAACUUCUUCAUUCCAUUCAUUCUUUCAAGCUUGAUCUUUCCCCAUCACUGGGUAAAUUUAUGUUAAUGAACUAACAUGCCAAAAAUAUGAAUGAGAGCUUCCUCCACAAACAGCCUUUGAAUUAAGGCUCCACAGGUGAGUAGUUGACUUGGGUAGUUAUUAUCUUGACUUGGGUAGUCAUUGUCUUACUAAUAGAAAGGACAACAAAGCUAGCCAGGAAAGAUCUAUGAAAAGUCAAUGCAUGGAAAACUAACAAGCAAACGGCCUCCUCCUGCAAUUGCAUCUAAGUGGGGAACUUGGAGAAACAGCGGGG